rnacentral:rRNA from 1 species
UAUUGGAAACGAUAGCUAAUACCGCAUAACAAUGGAUGACACAUGUCAUUUAUUUGAAAGGGGCAAUUGCUCCACUACAAGAUGGACCUGCGUUGUAUUAGCUAGUAGGUGAGGUAAUGGCUCACCUAGGCGACGAUACAUAGCCGACCUGAGAGGGUGAUCGGCCACACUGGGACUGAGACACGGCCCAGACUCCUACGGGAGGCAGCAGUAGGGAAUCUUCGGCAAUGGGGGCAACCCUGACCGAGCAACGCCGCGUGAGUGAAGAAGGUUUUCGGAUCGUAAAGCUCUGUUGUAAGUCAAGAACGGGUGUGAGAGUGGAAAGUUCACACUGUGACGGUAGCUUACCAGAAAGGGACGGCUAACUACGUGCCAGCAGCCGCGGUAAUACGUAGGUCCCGAGCGUUGUCCGGAUUUAUUGGGCGUAAAGCGAGCGCAGGCGGUUUGAUAAGUCUGAAGUUAAAGGCUGUGGCUCAACCAUAGUUCGCUUUGGAAACUGUCAAACUUGAGUGCAGAAGGGGAGAGUGGAAUUCCAUGUGUAGCGGUGAAAUGCGUAGAUAUAUGGAGGAACACCGGUGGCGAAAGCGGCUCUCUGGUCUGUAACUGACGCUGAGGCUCGAAAGCGUGGGGAGCGAACAGGAUUAGAUACCCUGGUAGUCCACGCCGUAAACGAUGAGUGCUAGGUGUUGGAUCCUUUCCGGGAUUCAGUGCCGCAGCUAACGCAUUAAGCACUCCGCCUGGGGAGUACGACCGCAAGGUUGAAACUCAAAGGAAUUGACGGGGGCCCGCACAAGCGGUGGAGCAUGUGGUUUAAUUCGAAGCAACGCGAAGA